GUGCCAGCCGCCGCGGUAAUACGUAGGUGGCAAGCGUUAUCCGGAAUUAUUGGGCGUAAAGCGCGCGUAGGCGGUUUUUUAAGUCUGAUGUGAAAGCCCACGGCUCAACCGUGGAGGGUCAUUGGAAACUGGAAAACUUGAGUGCAGAAGAGGAAAGUGGAAUUCCAUGUGUAGCGGUGAAAUGCGCAGAGAUAUGGAGGAACACCAGUGGCGAAGGCGACUUUCUGGUCUGUAACUGACGCUGAUGUGCGAAAGCGUGGGGAUCAAA
rnacentral:rRNA from 1 species